rnacentral:rRNA from 1 species
UGGGGGAUAUUGCACAAUGGGCGAAAGCCUGAUGCAGCGACGCCGCGUGGGGGAUGAAGGCCUUCGGGUUGUAAACUUCUUUUGCUCUGAACAAGGCGCACCAUGGGGUGUGUUGAGUGUAGGGGUUGAUUAGCGCCGGCUAACUACGUGCCAGCAGCCGCGGUAAUACGUAGGGCGCGAGCGUUGUCCGGAAUUAUUGGGCGUAAAGGGCUUGUAGGUGGCUGGUUGCGUCUGUCGUGAAAGCUCAUGGCUUAACUGUGGGUUUGCGGUGGGUACGGGCUGGCUUGAGUGCAGUAGGGGAGGCUGGAAUUCCUGGUGUAGCGGUGGAAUGCGCAGAUAUCAGGAGGAAUACCGGUGGCGAAGGCGGGUCUCUGGGCUGUUACUGAUACUGAGGAGCGAAAGCAUGGGGAGCGAACAGG